UACGAAGGAUCCAAGCGUUCUCCGGAUUUAUUGGGUUUAAAGGGUGCGUAGGUGGGCAGUUAAGUCAGUGGUGAAAUCUCCGAGCUUAACUCGGAAACUGCCAUUGAUACUAUCUGUCUUGAAUAUCCUGGAGGUGAGCGGAAUAUGUCAUGUAGCGGUGAAAUGCUUAGAUAUGACAUAGAACACCAAUUGCGAAGGCAGCUCACUACGGGAUUAUUGACACUGAGGCACGAAAGCGUGGGGAUCAAACAGG
rnacentral:rRNA from 1 species